UGGGGAAUAUUGGGCAAUGGGCGAAAGCCUGACGCAGCCACGCCGCGUGAGGGAUGAAGGUUCUCGGAUCGUAAACCUCUUUCAGAAGGGAAGAAACCGCACUGUGCUAAUCAGGAGUGCCUUGACGAUACCUUCAAAGGAAGCACCGGCAAACUCCGUGCCAGCAGCCGCGGUAAGACGGAGGGUGCAAACGUUAAUCGGAAUUACUGGGCGUAAAGCGCACGUAGGCUGCUUUGUAAGUCAGGGGUGAAAUCCCACGGCUCAACCGUGGAACUGCCUUUGAUACUGCUUAGCUUGAAUCCGGGAGAGGGGGGCGGAAUUCCAGGUGUAGGGGUGAAAUCCGUAGAUAUCCGGAGGAACAUCAGUGGCGAAGGCGGCCACCUGGACCGGUAUUGACGCUGAGGUGCGAAAGCGUGGGGAGCAAACAGG
rnacentral:rRNA from 1 species